rnacentral:rRNA from 1 species
CAUCACUACGCUAGAUGCAUAUCAAUAAGCGGAGGAAAAGAAACUAACAAGGAUUCCCCUAGUAACGGCGAGUGAAGCGGGAAGAGCUCAAAUUUGAAAUCUUAAAGGGUUUCCCUUUACGAAUUGUAGUUUAAAGAAGUGUUUUCUGUUGGAGUUUCGGUAAAAGUUCUUUGGAAUAGGACAUCAUAGAGGGUGAGAAUCCCGUAUUUGACCGUUACUUUCCAGCUGUGUGAUACACUUUCAAAGAGUCGGAUUGUUUGGGAAUGCAGUCCAAGAUGGGUGGUAAAUUUCAUCUAAAGCUAAAUAUUGGCGAGAGACCGAUAGCGAACAAGUACCGUGAGGGAAAGAUGAAAAGAACUUUGAAAAGAGAGUUAAACAGUACGUGAAAUUGUCAAAAGGGAAGCGUUUGACACCAGUGUUGUUUAGUUGAAAAUCAAUUCAAUAAUUUUUGAUUCUAAGUAGUAUUGACUUCAUCAGCUUGCUGCUUUCUUCUCAGAAAUUAUUGAAUGCACUUUUCAGUUAACAAGUCAACAUCAAUUUCUUUUGUUGUAAAAGGGUAAGAGGAAGGUGGCUUGCGCUUCGGCUCAAGUGUUUAUAGCCUUUUAUCUCUGCAAUCGGAGAGAUUGAGGUCUGCAGCGUAGAUCCUUCGGGGUUAGAUACAUUGGUGCUAAGCUAUAGCCUUGUAUAGACAACUUGUUGACUAUGCUCAGUCAUGUAGCUUACUCGCUGAUGCUAUUUUACCUACGCUUAGGAUGUUGAUAGUCACAGCGUGUAC